UAAUACAGAGGGUGCGAGCGUUAAUCGGAAUUACUGGGCGUAAAGCGCGCGUAGGUUGGUAGAUGUGUUGGCUGUGAAAUCCCCGAGCUUAACUUGGGACGGUCAGCCAAAACUGUCUAUCUAGAGUAUGGUAGAGGAAAGUGGAAUUUCAGGUGUAGCGGUGAAAUGCGUAGAUAUCUGAAGGAACAUCAGUGGCGAAGGCGACUUUCUGGACUAAUACUGACACUGAGGCGCGAAAGCGUGGGGAGCAAACAGGAUUAGAUACCCUGGUAGUCCACGCCGUAAACGAUGAGAACUAGCUGUUGGGUGCUUUAGCACUUAGUGGCGCAGCUAACGCGUUAAGUUCUCCGCCUGGGGAGUACGGCCGCAAGGUUA
rnacentral:rRNA from 1 species